GGUGAAUGGAGAAUAUCUAGUGUAGUGGAACAUGAGUGUCUGUCCCAGUAACUUCAUUUAAAAUACAUAACUACAGUAACACAACUGGCAUGAACAAAUUGGGGAACACAUGACCUUUGAUAAGCAAACAACUCGAUUAGUGAGAACAGAAGUGCACAGGGCAUGAGAGAGUGAGUGGCCCAGUGCUGUGAGCAAGGAGUGUGCCAGGAGCUUCUCUGUGUGUUUCUUAGUGGAAAGUGAUGGUGCUGGUUGAAUCUGUGAGGCAGUAACAGGAGGUGGGUUAAGAGAACUUUUCUAUUUUACCUCCUUUCUUUCCUGGAAUGGGUAAGAACAGAAGAGAUUCUGUUAAACACAAAUUUGUAUUGUUUAUUAAGUACUUCCUCCAUACCUAUCACUGAAAACUAGAAGCUGUGAGGAGAAAAACAGAAAGUACCUCAAAACUCUUGGAUUUUACAUUCAAGGUGGGGAGAUAAUUCCAUAGAUGACACAGAAUAACAAAAAGUAGAAAGCAUUGAAAUGUGAAAGUGUGGGAUCCAGAUGAAUCACAAGGAAUUUCACCAAGCCAAGAAGCACCACCUCUGAGUCUGGUUUCUACAGGGUGCUCCAGGGGCUCCCACCUGGGUGGGAAUAGGUUGCAUGAAUUUGGAGACAAGGGUGUGUCUAAUUGAAAUUGGGCAAUGGAACUAAAGAGAGCGUAUCAUAUUUGGCCUUCUAAUUUCUUCCUUUUGGGUGGGGUCGUCUUGGAUCUCCCUGUCUUAACUGAGUGUUGCAGACUCACACAGGGCUUCCCAGGGCCCAGACUGAUGAUGGAUGAUAGGCUGAACAGACACUUGGGAAUGUCUUGCUCUUUGCAGAUACUGUGUGUGUCCUGGGCAGAGGAGGAGAGUCAUAUGCAAGCCUGUAGCACUGUCCUAUGAGCAAAAACUGCAGACAUCUUUGAGCGAUAGAAGAGACAACUGAGCUGGGGGCCAGUUCAGUGUGGACCUACAUUUCAACCACCAUGAUGAAGGUUUGGGACUGUUAUGGUCACAUUUGCUUUUUGCUCUUUAUAAUACUGAGAUAUACUUGUGAG
rnacentral:lncRNA from 1 species